AAACNCGGNCCAAGGAGUUUAACNCGUGCGNGAGUCAUUGGGUUAACAAACCCCAAAGGCGCAAUGAAAGUGAAAUUGACGCGAUCCUGUUUUUAAAACAGGCGCAGCGUCUGCCCGUUUAAAGACGGACUCUGGUCCAGUUAAGCGGAGCGGGAGCGCACGUGUUGAGACCCGAAAGAUGGUGACCUAUGCCUGGGCAAGAUGAAGCCAGAGGAAACUCUGGUGGAGGUCUGAAGCGGUUCUGACGUGCAAAUCGAUCGUCUGACCUGGGUAUAGGGGCGAAAGACUAAUCGAACCAUCUAGUAGCUGGUUCCCUCCGAAGUUUCCCUCAGGAUAGCUGGUGCUCUGAAAAGCAGUCUCAUACGGUAAAGCGAAUGAUUAGAGGCCUUGGGGACGAAACGUCCUCAACCUAUUCUCAAACUUUUAAUGUGUGAGAAUAACCGCUUGAUUGAAAUUUUUAAGCGGCUAUAAAGAUGAGAGUGCCCAGUGGGCCAUUUUUGGUAAGCAGAACUGGCGAUGUGGGAUGAACCAAAAGACGAGUUAAAGUGCCCGAAGCGGGACGCUCAUGAGAUCCCAGAAAGGGUGUUGGUUGCUUAAGACAGCANGACGGNGGCCAUGGAANUCGGA
rnacentral:rRNA from 1 species